rnacentral:rRNA from 1 species
AUUGAACGCUGGCGGCAUGCCUUACACAUGCAAGUCGAACGGCAGCACGGGAGCAAUCCUGGUGGCGAGUGGCGAACGGGUGAGUAAUAUAUCGGAACGUGCCCAGUCGUGGGGGAUAACGCAGCGAAAGCUGUGCUAAUACCGCAUACGAUCUAUGGAUGAAAGCGGGGGAUCGCAAGACCUCGCGCGAUUGGAGCGGCCGAUAUCAGAUUAGGUAGUUGGUGGGGUAAAGGCCCGACCAAGCCGACGAUCUGUAGCUGGUCUGAGAGGACGACCAGCCACACUGGAACUGAGACACGGUCCAGACUCCUACGGGAGGCAGCAGUGGGGAAUUUUGGACAAUGGGCGCAAGCCUGAUCCAGCAAUGCCGCGUGCAGGAUGAA